GAAGUGUGUUUGGUCGAUCUAAACAUCAGGAGCGAACAGGAGCUUCCCCACCAAACCCUAACUUGUGCAAAUUGAUCAAAUUGGGGCUUCAAAUCAGUUCCAAAUCGAUUUCCAAGCACGAAAUUGUCAUCUCCAUUGAAAGGGGAGUCAUAAGUUUGAUCUCGUCAAACUAAGUGGGAGCUGGAAAGGAAUGGAUCAAACGGGUCAAGUGCGCAAGGAAAGCUCGAACGGACGCAAACUGUACAUUUUGGAUGCCGGAAGACGAUCAAGCUCAACGAAGAACCGAACACGAAUAAGAUAAAAGCUUCCGCACGUCGUUUCGUCGUAACUUUUAAACGACGAACUCAAUUAUGUUAUGUUGUAUUAUUUUA
rnacentral:lncRNA from 1 species